CCAAGAGCAAACCCCAUAGGUGUCUGUUAGGUCUUACCUCCAUUAAUUACACUUGCUGAAUUGAACCUCUGUGCUGCCUUUGGAGCAUUCUUCGCUGGAUUACCUGACAAAUAAUAUGGCCUGCAGCACUGAUGGUUCAAGAGGUCUUUGCUUUAGUUUUGGAAAAGCGCUUCUAGUGCAGCAGGAAAGGACCCACCACCGGUGGUUAAAUCACACCCCGACUGCCGGACUCUGUGCACUAACCAGACGGGAAUAAAACAUUCAAGGUCCUAUG